UACAUUGGCAGCUAAAUUGCCUGAUGAGAAGAAUUUGCUGACUUUUUGUGGGUGCUUUUGCUGCUACAUAUGCGGUCCCUGGUGUACCUGCCCUAGUUAAUCUAUGUGAUUAGGGGGGUUUAGCAUUAAAACCCCUGCUCUCUGGGGUGUGACAUAAUUAGGGAAUCUGGACUUUAGUUCCCUGGAGUGUAGUAUCUGAAGAUGGCUGAUUAAAUUCACUGAAUCAGUAGGUACCACCCUGGCUGUCCAAAACACUCUUCAUAAAGGUACAUCAGAGGAGAGGGGAUUAGUUGUGUUCUGGCUGGCCCCAGAGGGCAGAGCUAGGAGCCAAGGGUAGAAGUUGCAAAGGGGGAAGAGCAGGCUGGAUGUCGGGGAAAACAAAAACAGAGACUUCCUAACAAUCAGAGCUAACAGAAAUUGAAAUGGACUUCCACAACAGGUCUUCAAGCUGAGUGUCUAUUUAUCAGGUAAUAUUGGAAUGAGGCUUCUUGUUGUGUAUCAAUUGGACUAGACAUUCACUGAGGUCCCUUGUGGCAUUGAGACUCUGUAAUUCUAUGAAAUGUGAAGUGGAAAGAACACUGGGAUUGGAGUCAGAAGGCCAGGGUUUAUAUAAUUCAGUUCUGUCACCCCCUGGGCCAUCCUCAACAAAUGACUUCAUCUCUCUGGGGUUCAGUUUCUGUAAAAGGAGUGGAUUGAGCUCCGUCACUGGUGUUCAAAGUAAAUACACGGGCCACUAAACUACAUAAGGAUCCCUCUGGGUGCAUUUUGACUUAGAAAGUCUCAUAUUAACCUUAUCAAUGUUUUAUUGUAUUUUCUAUUUCUUUUGUUAAAUAUUUCCCUGUUACAUUUUAAGCUGGUUUGGUGCUGUAUUUGACUCAGUGAACCAGUUGACCUUUCAGGACUUCUCUAGCUCUUUGUCUUUGAUUCCAUGAAAAACUGACAUUAACCAUCCAUUCUGCAUCCACUCUGGGCCUGGAAUUGUCAAGGAAGUCAAGAAAGUUGUCUGUGGAAAUAAGUUCACCAACCUAGGAGUUAUGAAUAUUGCAUUCAGCCCCAAAUGCCACCUCUUGGGAAAACCAGCAUGAACCAGAGGGCAGCCAGAAGGAUGAAAGGUUUUAAAACCAUGUCAUAUGUGAAAAUAGGCAGAAGAAUCUGGGAGUACUUAGCCUAGAGAAGAAGAAAAACCGGAUUUGGAAUCAGAAUCCCUAGGCUGGAAUCCUGACACUGCGACUUACUACAUGUAUGCAAGUCACAACUUUGCAAACCUCGGUUUCCUGGUCGGUAAAUGAAGGGGUUGCAGUAAUUAUCUUCUAACGUCCCUUCUAGCACUACAUCUGCGCUCCGAUGUCAUGACAUGCCUUCAGAUGUUUGAAGGGCUGCCAUCUGGAAGAGGGAUUAGGCUUGUUCCUCUUGGUCCCAGGGGGCAGAACUAGGAACAGUGGGUGGAAAGUGCAGAGAGUCAGAUUUAGGCUCAAUGGAAGGGAAAACUCAGUAGAGAUCCAUGAGCAGAGAAAAGUUCAGUCCUAUGGUCUCUAUGUGUGCUAGACAGCUCUUCACAAAAAUUGUGUCCUUCCUUCCAACUUGCCUCCUUCCUAGAGCUACACUGUUGGGGAAUAAUUGUAAUAAAACUGACAUUUAUGGGG